rnacentral:lncRNA from 1 species
GUUUUGUUUGUUUGUUUGUUUUUUUCUAGAUAAACUGUAGACUUUACAAGUUAUGAUUUUUAUUAAAAUAUAUAGGUUAGGGAAGCAAAAGCAAAUCACGAAGUGUUCAGAUAUUUCAAUACAUGAGAUUGUCUCAGACAUAGUAUGAGGGUACUAAAAUGAUGUCAUUAACUAUAAUCUUGGGUACAAUGAACAUAUACUUAUAUUCCCUGCAUAUAAUUGCAUCACUAUCCUACAUGAUAGGAGCUUCUUCAUUCAAUUUCCUUAUAAGGCAAUGUAUGAUAACCCAAUGCUCUAUUAUAUUGUUAUAUUUGAUUUCUAAAAGGAAGAGUUAUUGUUACAGAAAUAAGUAAUCUUAUAAGGAAAUGCUAAUAUUCAUGAGUGGGGAAAUUAUGUGUUGGUGGCAAUUCUAAACUUUCACUGAUGGCUGCAUAAAGAAAAAAAUAGAGAUGGAUCAUUUAUUAUAUGGAGAUGACCCUAACUGAGUUAGUAAAAGGAUGGUGGGAUUUCUAACACCAAUAGUAGGAAGAAGAAAAAGCAGACAAAACAAAAAGAGAAAAAUAAAACACAAACAAGUAAACAAACUUCUAAAUCCGGCAGUGCUUUACAUUUCAAAAUAGAUGUCAGGGUAGAAUCCUUUUAUUUUUCCAUUUACUGCAGCCACACUGAAAAGGCAUUCUGCAUUUUACUUGAUGUAUUCUAAACGGGAUUCCACUCCGUGUGUGCUUUAAUUCUCUGUGGUAAACCACCUGCUACUGCAAAGAAGAUGGUUUACAUCCCAAGCACAACUAAAUUAAUAAUGAUGUGAAACAUGCCAGGUCAUAUGGCUUUUUUUCUGGUCAAAUAAACUCAUUUUAAAACGUUACUUGUUUUACAUUUGGAGGGUGACCUGGGUAAAUUGUGGUGACAUCCAGAAAAUUACUUAUUAGGAAAAGAUAUUUAGGAUAAAUAGGUUGUACUUUGAAAGUGUUGCAGCAUCAUAGAUAUAAAUAUUUAGAAGCUUGGUUGCAUUUGAUACUUAUUUCAGACCAAAUUCAUUUGAAUAGUAUAAAAUUAUCAGCUUUGUAAAAACUGGUGGCCAUUCGGGAAGCCAAUUUAAGGGGCUAAGUGUAGGUUUCACCUUGCCUGGCUUGCAAAAAAUCCCUUUUAUAACAGACCCUAC